GGGUGAGUAACACGUGGAUAACCUGCCUAUAAGACUGGGAUAACUUCGGGAAACCGGAGCUAAUACCGGAUAAUAUAUUGAACCGCAUGGUUCAAUAGUGAAAGACGGUUUUGCUGUCACUUAUAGAUGGAUCCGCGCCGCAUUAGCUAGUUGGUAAGGUAACGGCUUACCAAGGCAACGAUGCGUAGCCGACCUGAGAGGGUGAUCGGCCACACUGGAACUGAGACACGGUCCAG
rnacentral:rRNA from 1 species